CCCUGAGAUGAGGACAGAAAGUCAGAGGGUCAAAGUUGAGGCAGCUCACAUCAUACACAAUAAUUAGAACUGCAAAUUAAUUUAUGAUGGGGUGGAACAUUGUGCAAAGCUGGUGCAUAUAAUUCAUGAAAGACCAGAUUUUCCUCAUCAGAAAAUAAAUAAAAAAUUCAAAUAACCACUU